GAUGAAGAACGUAGCGAAAUGCGAUAAGUAAUGUGAAUUGCAGAAUUCAGUGAAUCAUCGAAUCUUUGAACGCACAUUGCGCCCGCCAGUAUUCUGGCGGGCAUGCCUGUUCGAGCGUCAUUUCAACCAUCAAGCCCCGGGCUUGUGUUGGGGACCUGCGGCUGCCGCAGGCCCUGAAAUGCAGUGGCGGGCUCGCUGUCACUCCGAGCGUAGUAGUUACAUCUCGCUCUGGGCGUGCUGCGGGUUCCGGCCGUUAAAAAGCCUUUUUUACCCAAGGUUGACCUCGGAUCAGGUAGGAAGACCCGCUGAACUUAAGCAUAUCAAUAAGCGGAGGA
rnacentral:misc_RNA from 1 species